rnacentral:rRNA from 1 species
GACGUAGGGCGCGAGCGUUGUCCGGAUUUAUUGGGCGUAAAGAGCUCGUAGGCGGCUUGUCGCGUCGUCCGUGAAAACCUGCAGCUCAACUGCAGGCUUGCGGUCGAUACGGGCAGGCUGGAGUUCGGUAGGGGAGACUGGAAUUCCUGGUGUAGCGGUGAAAUGCGUAGAUAUCAGGAGGAACACCGGUGGUGUAGACGGCUUACUGGACCACGACUGACACUGAGGCACGAAAGCGUGGGUAGCAAACAGG